rnacentral:sRNA from 1 species
UGUUUUUAUUUAUUUUUAUUUGCACCUUUACAAGGGGGGGGGGGACAUUUGGUUUUUAGUUUACUUUUCAAUGGUGGGCCUGUGCGAUGCGUGUGUAAAGUGUGAAGAGUACAACUAGUGUGUGUUUGUGUAUCCCUCUGUGUAUCUCCCUUCCUCUCGGGAAUGCCUCGGAUGCAAGAGAGUCCCAUAUACAUAGUAUUCGGAAUCAAGGCUAUCUAUCUAUCUAUUGCAGAUACCUUGACUUGGGUUGAAUGCAAUCAGGCAUAACAUUCUGGGCAGCCUGACACCUCUGUCCACUGAACUGUACCAAUAUGAAAACAUUGCCGGACCUUAACAAUUAAUUAUUGUCUGCUUGGGUGUUGGGCAAAUAUUUGAACGCCCUCGGACAUUCCGGGAAAUCAAGCGAGUAAACAUCAUACAUAUUUCAGGGACCCGAUAAGAAUGCCCUCCCACACAAAUCCCAAAUCGCACUCGAUAGUCCAUAAUUUGUUUUGUAAACAAGUCAAAUUUGUAGGAGGGAUGGAACCGCCGAAACCACGAAGCAAGCUCAUUAAAUUGAACUUAAUUCUAUUUGGACCGAACCGCAAAAACAGGCUCUAGCAGUGAAGCAUGCGACAUGCUAUAAAUUACAAUUAGGUUGAUUGUGAAAAAUAGCCCCAAAAUUAAUUUUAUGCGUUUCCCAUCGCAUAGGAUACUAAUUAUUAGGAAAAAGGAUCACGAAAUUAUGCAAAUAACCCAAAUGAACAAAACAGAACCGAACCGAACCGUACAGAAACGUUUUCACUGCUUUGAAGGACAUUUUUUUCCACAAGGGACUAUAAAUUUGAUUUCAAUCUACAGUCCAGUCCGGCUCGGUCCUGUUCGGACUUUUGCCGUCAUAUCAAAAUGCCAAUUAAGCUCCGUCCGCCACCUCCGUGAUCCGUUACCAAGGCAGCAACAAAUACAGUACCGGACAAAAAAAAAGGUCAGCAAAAAAGAACUCACAAAAAAUUAGUACUUCCAGCUAAGCUUACGCCCAAUGCAUACAAAAAUAUAUUUUUUAUGAGAGCGGAGUUACUUUUCAUAAAAAAAUUGAAUACUUUAACGUAAUAUACUAAAAGCAACGCAUUCGCGUGUCAAAACAGGGAGAUGACGGCAGACAAGGUCUGAGUGAGGCCUAAUGAUGUGUGAAACGACGGUCAUCAUUAUCAUCACUGUUACUGUCAAGGCGAUAACGAUGAUAACGAUAAUUAUGACUUCAAAUCUACCUCAUCAAAACCAGCUUUAUCAUUAGCAUUCCAUAUUCUCCGCCUAAUUACCUUUCCACCGCCAGUCCAUUCAUCCCACCGUGGGGCCAUUGUCAGAGCACUAAUUCCCAAUUGAUGUGGAUCAGUACUCAAAAUUUUCCAGCCUGCUUCACUCUGCCGGAAAUCUCGUUUGUCAAGGCUUGUUGGCUCUGAUUUAAUUUAAUGUGCAUAAAUUAACCAAAAUUUAAUAAGUCCCAGCAACAGAAACAGCCUCGGCCAAGGCCUCAGCUCCAGCUUACAUCUCAUACUGUGAACAAGAUGGAUGGCAAGCCGAUUUGUAGCCAACUGCAUUUCUAAUCGGUCUCUGGCUAUUUGCGUGUCGAACAAAAUUCAUUACAGAAUGUUCUCUGUCAUGGAAAUUUGAGGUGUGUGUCUGUGCGGCUAAUGGAGUUAACAGACAUGGCCUUUACACACACGAUACACAUCGGAAGCGGAAGCACAAGGACCGUCGGGCUGCACGCACGACAGAUAGCAAUGUGCAACGUCUGUUCAGAGUGUGAUUCCUGACGCCCUGUUUUUGGAGAAGCUUAAAUAUAUUUUGGAGCUGGGGACUGUGGCUGCAACAGACAGUAGGAAGCCGUACGAAAAUAUACACACGAUUAAACGCAGACGUCCAACCAAGUUCAGAGCUGGAAAUUUAAGAACUUAAACUGAUUUAGGAAAAAUGGUCCUCUGCGCCAGUUCACCUUCAGGGCACUAGAGAGCGCUCUGUGCUCUGAGGUUGUGGAGGUUGAAAGUCGAGAGCGCAUUUGUGCCGGCCACUAAAUCCUCUCAGAAUGCAUCUGGACGGGCUACAAGUGGCUUCAGAACUUUUUCAUGGACUGUGCCACUGACGAGCCACUGACAGACAGCACAUAGAAGCGUAGAAGCGAUAUAUGUACGUAAACAACGAUGGUUAUGAAGCUUCAGGUGCAAGGAGAGGAGUGGAGAGGCGAGGCGAGGUCAGGAGCAGGACAGACUUUUUAACCUACAUAAAAACCUGUGAAUCCCCCAAAGAGCGCGCUGAAAGUGAUACUCGUACUCAAACCCCUCGACGCUGCAUCGUCCUGUCCAAAGUAAGUUGUGAUUCUGUCAGAAUUGUUGGUGCUGUGCAUCAAUAUUUCAGUCAACUUUGUGCCCCCAUGAGACGCGGACCGACACACGUGUGUGUCCAACUUUUUUUGUCUGACUGAAUCUCUGAAUUAAGCAGUGGGCAUAUUUGAUGUCGCUCAACUGGAAAACAGCUCGGAAAACCUGAAAGAAAGCUCUACAAAGACAUGUCCAGCUAAAAGCCCCACUGUGUGCCGAGUGGAGUUAAUUAGGGUAAAUGCUUAGAUUGAACUCUUGGGGAAAGCCGAGAACUGGUAUGAAAGCUGAAUGCUGCAGAUACGGCAGAAGGAGAAGAUUUCUAUGGGACAGCAGAAAUCUUGAAUGCUUUAAAUGCAGUGAGAAAAGCUUGUUAAUUGAAAGUACACUCUAAAUACAGCGAAUGCAUAAAGCAUACAAUAUAGUGUGAUUCAUAGGGAUAAUUAACGUGCAAAUUCAUUCGAAUUAAAAGAAAACCUGCAACGUCCGGUAUGGCAUCCAGUGGCUGCCAUUAAACAGCCACGGCCACGACCACAACUCAGAGCGAAGUUGGUCUUAAAACUGACAUAAAAAAGCAAGGAAAAGCCGCAUUUAAAUUAAUGUUGAAAUACAGUUGGCAUAUAUUCAGCUGUCAGAGACAUGCGCCGACAAAGUCAAAGGCUCUCCUGCAGGAGCUUACAGAAAUGCGACUUGACAUGCUGACGCAGCUCGUAAAUAAAGAGGUCUGGCAGAAAUCUACAAAAGUUUAUAUUUGGGAUCAUUUCACCGUCUUCAGGCAGUUAUACAGACAACACUAUAUCAUUAGCACGGACUUCUAUGGACCUACAAGGUUAUUAAAGGCGUCUACCUUAAAUUUUCCUAUUUUGUGUUGUGCUCGCACGAGGCAGAGGUGGAGUUAGUUUGGGGAAGGUGUUUAGUAUAUGCAUUCAUUAUUUACUAUGACCCACGGGCAAGAUUUAUCAGCGCUUCCGAUCGAAUGGACCU